rnacentral:rRNA from 1 species
GUGCAGCAGGCGCGAAUCUUUAGCAAUGCCCGAAAGGGUGACUAUGCGACGCCGCGUGAGCGAUGAAGUCCUUCGGGACGUAAAGCUCUGUCAGGUGGGAUGAAUUUUUCGACCGUUAACAGGGUUGGAAUUUGGACCCGUACCACCCAGAGGAAGCCACGGCUAACUCCGUGCCAGCAGCCGCGGUAAUACGGAGGUGGCAAGCGUUGUUCGGAUUUA